GCAGCAUCAAAAGAGAAAACGAUUCAUUAUUACUGUAAAAUUGUUACCUUCCCCACAAGAAAAACAAAUCCCAGAACGGAAGGUUCCUAUGUAGCCGUUUAUGGAGCAGUGACAGCGUCCUAUCAAGCGCCUGAGUUAUUGGUCUGGUCAUAAAGAAUUACAGUCGAACGAGAUCUAUCUGCAUUAGCUAUGCUGACUUGUGCUGCAGCAGCCCUGGAGGGCUGGCAAAAGCAAUGCACAGACCUCAGCGGGCUGGGAAAUUGAAUACUUGGGCAGAAUCUCAACUAUUACCCAGCAAAAGGGAUUCCAAGAGACUUGACAUAAAAUUAAAGAAGGUGCUUCUUAGCAGGACUCCCUGACACCAGACCAUUCUCCAAGAGAUGCCUUCUCACUGUGCACGCAGACACCUUCACUCAGUCUUCUUUCCAUUACUGCAGCCUCGGCACCUUGGAUAAUCAACAAUCUGUUUCACCCUCUGGCCACCACCACCAAGACUGUCUGCUAUGGUAAAACCAAAGCCUUUA